GACGAACGCUGGCGGCGUGCCUAAUACAUGCAAGUCGAACGCUGAAGGAGGAGCUUGCUUCUUCGGAUGAGUUCCGCACGGGUGAGUAACGCGUAGGUAACCUGCCUGUUAGCGGGGGAUAACUCUUGGAAACGCUAGCUAUUACCGCAUAACAGUAGUUGUUGCAUGACAUUUGCUUAAAAGGUGCAAUUGUAUCACUACUAGUUGGACCUUCGUUGGAUUAACUAGUUGGUGAGGUAACGGCUCACCAAGGCGACGAUACUUAGUCGACCUGCUAGGGUGAUCGGCCACACUGGGACUGAGACACGGCCCAGAAUCCUACGGGAGGGAGCAGGAGGGAAACUUCGGGAAUGGACGGAAGUCUGGCCGAACAAAGGCGCGUGAGGGAAGAAGGUUUUCGGAUCGUAAAGAUCUGUUGUAAGAGAAGAACGAGAGUGAGAGGGGAAAGUGCACACUGUGACGGUAUCUUACCAGAAAGGGACGGCUAACUACGUG
rnacentral:rRNA from 1 species